UACGUAGGUGGCAGGCGUUAUCCGGAAUUAUUGGGCGUAAAGAGCGCGCAGGUGGUUAAUUAAGUCUGAUGUGAAAGCCCACGGCUUAACCGUGGAGGGUCAUUGGAAACUGGUUGACUUGAGUGCAGAAGAGGGAAGUGGAAUUCCAUGUGUAGCGGUGAAAUGCGUAGAGAUAUGGAGGAACACCAGUGGCGAAGGCGGCUUCCUGGUCUGCAACUGACACUGAGGCGCGAAAGCGUGGGGAGCAAACAGG
rnacentral:rRNA from 1 species